AGGGGACUGGAGCCCCCAGUGGGUGGGCAGGGAGGCCUGUCAGGGGGCACGACAGUCCUGGGGCAGGUGUUCCUUGAGUGGAGGAGGCUGCGCAAAGCUGUCAGAAGAAGGGACGCCUGGGCGGGGCGGGAGCUCAGCUCUGUUCACAAAAGGGAACCCAGCGUGGCUGGAGCACCACACAGGAGAGCGGGGGUGUCCCAUGGAGAGGAGAUUUGAACAGAAUGAAGGAGGAAAAUGAAAAAGAUUGGGAGUUCCAGCAUCCAUAGAGUCCUAUGGUGGACGUCUGCCAGGCAGUUCCACGCCAUCUACAAUAUGUGCCUUGCAUCUCAGGUUUAGGAAAUUCACAGGACGAUGCUUGCAGCCCAGGUGUCGUAGAGACACAUGCUGCUGAGAUGAAAAGCUGAGCUCCCUGCAGCAGCCAAAGAAAACAAACACAGAGAAAAAGCAAUUGAAAACGGAGAGAGGAAGCAGGAUUCUGCAUCCUGGCUGAUAACAUCCUCAAAAUGCAAGCUGCAAGACACGUGAUCAUCAGAGGAGCUUGGGGGACACCCAGGACCAGGUUGCCAGCGGUGAUCAGGUCCCUGACCCUCAGUGUCAUCAACCCAAGGCCCCACAAACUGGCUCUUGAUACCAAAGGGAUAUCAUAUCUGAUAUCCCUUCCCAUAUCCAUGUAGAGGCCCAAUAAAUUCCUUGGAUCAUUUA